GUAGCCGCCAUGCAGUGGCCCCACCUUUGACAGUUUUCUUCCUCGAUGUUGGUAAGGCCCGUAACUGAGCUGCUCAGCUGCUUCCACACAGUGGUCAUGUCUCCUGACUCCAGCGCCCUGUUGAUGAGGGCCACGGAUGACAGCAUCUCCACAGCAACAGCUUGUCUGCCCAUCCAUCUUGCCAACUAUGCAUUGGGAUUACAGGGCAGCUGUCAUGCCCACUGUGCUUUUACAGAUUCUAGGAUUAGAACCCUGGUCCUCAAGCUUGAGCAAGGAACAUCUGGCCUGCUAAACAUCUCGAUAGAAAACCCACACUCCCAUUUGCCACCCCAGCCCCACAAAAAAACACUGUGUGGCCCUAGU
rnacentral:lncRNA from 1 species